AUUGAACGCUGGCGGCAGGCCUAACACAUGCAAGUCGAACGGUAACAGGAAGAAGCUUGCUUCUUUGCUGACGAGUGGCGGACGGGUGAGUAAUGUCUGGGAAACUGCCUGAUGGAGGGGGAUAACUACUGGAAACGGUAGCUAAUACCGCAUAAUGUCGCAAGACCAAAGAGGGGGACCUUCGGGCCUCUUGCCAUCGGAUGUGCCCAGAUGGGAUUAGCUAGUAGGUGGGGUAACGGCUGACCUAGGCGACGAUCCCUAGCUGGUCUGAGAGGAUGACCAGCCACACUGGAACUGAGACACGGUCCAGACUCCUACGGGAGGCAGCAGUGGGGAAUAUUGCACAAUGGGCGCAAGCCUGAUGCAGCUAUGCCGCGUGUAUGAAGAAGGCCUUCGGGUUGUAAAGUACUUUCAGCGGGGAGGAAGGGAGUAAAGUUAAUACCUUUGCUCAUUGACGUUACCCGCAGAAGAAGCACCGGCUAACUCCGUG
rnacentral:rRNA from 1 species